CCUACGGGUGGCAGCAGUAGGGAAUAUUGCUCAAUGGGGGAAACCCUGAAGCAGCAACGCCGCGUGGAGGAUGAAGGUUUUAGGAUUGUAAACCCCUUUUGGUAGAGAAGAUUAUGACGGUAUCUAACGAAUAAGCACCGGCUAACUCCGUGCCAGCAGCCGCGGUAAUACGGGGGGUGCCAGCGUUACUCGGAAUCAUUGGGCGUAAAUCGUGCGUAGGCGGGAUAAUAAGUCAGAUGGGAAAUCCUGUAGCUUAACUACAGAACUGCAGUUGAAACUGUUACUCUGGAGUGUGGGAGAGGUAUGUGGAAUGCUUGGUGUAGGGGUGAAAUGCGUAGAGAUCAAGAAGAAUACUCAUUGCGAAGGCGACCUGCUGGAACAUUACUGACGCUGAUGCACGAAAGCGUGGGGAGCGAACAGGAUUAGAUACCCUAGUAGUC
rnacentral:rRNA from 1 species